rnacentral:rRNA from 1 species
AAUCCAUAGGUUAAUGAGGCGAACCGGGGGAACUGAAACAUCUAAGUACCCCGAGGAAAAGAAAUCAACCGAGAUUCCCCCAGUAGCGGCGAGCGAACGGGGAGGAGCCCAGAGCCUGAAUCAGCAUGUGUGUUAGUGGAAGCGUCUGGAAAGGCGCGCGAUACAGGGUGACAGCCCCGUACACAAAAGCGCAUGUGCUGUGAGCUCGAUGAGUAGGGCGGGACACGUGGUAUCCUGUCUGAAUAUGGGGGGACCAUCCUCCAAGGCUAAAUACUCCUGACUGACCGAUAGUGAACCAGUACCGUGAGGGAAAGGCGAAAAGAACCCCGGCGAGGGGAGUGAAAAAGAACCUGAAACCGUGUACGUACAAGCAGUGGGAGCCCCACCACUAAGCCAGUGGUGAACUCCACAUACGCAUCCUUUGCUGAGGAUACGGUUAACGGAGCGAAAGCGACGUUCAACCUCAAAAGAAGCAGAGGGGGCUUAGUGGUGGGGUGACUGCGUACCUUUUGUAUAAUGGGUCAGCGACUUAUAUUCUGUAGCAAGGUUAACCGAAUAGGGGAGCCGGAGGGAAACCGAGUCUUAAUUGGGCGUUAAGUUGCAGGGUAUAGACCCGAAACCCGGUGAUCUAGCCAUGGGCAGGUUGAAGGUUGGGUAACACUAACUGGAGGACCGAACCGACUAAUGUUGAAAAAUUAGCGGAUGACCUGUGGCUGGGGGUGAAAGGCCAAUCAAACCGGGAGAUAGCUGGUUCUCCCCGAAAGCUAUUUAGGUAGCGCCUCGUGAAUUCAUCUCCGGGGGUAGAGCACUGUUUCGGCUAGGGGGCCAUCCCGGCUUACCAACCCGAUGCAAACUGCGAAUACCGGAGAAUGUUAUCACGGGAGACACACGGCGGGUGCUAACGUCCGUCGUGAAGAGGGAAACAACCCAGACCGCCAGCUAAGGUCCCAAAGUCAUGGUUAAGUGGGAAACGAUGUGGGAAGGCCCAGACAGCCAGGAUGUUGGCUUAGAAGCAGCCAUCAUUUAAAGAAAGCGUAAUAGCUCACUGGUCGAGUCGGCCUGCGCGGAAGAUGUAACGGGGCUAAACCAUGCACCGAAGCUGCGGCAGCGACACUAUGUGUUGUUGGGUAGGGGAGCGUUCUGUAAGCCUGUGAAGGUGUGUCGUGAGGCAUGCUGGAGGUAUCAGAAGUGCGAAUGCUGACAUAAGUAACGAUAAAGCGGGUGAAAAGCCCGCUCGCCGGAAGACCAAGGGUUCCUGUCCAACGUUAAUCGGGGCAGGGUGAGUCGACCCCUAAGGCGAGGCCGAAAGGCGUAGUCGAUGGGAAACGGGUUAAUAUUCCCGUACUUGGUGUUACUGCGAAGGGGGGACGGAGAAGGCUAUGUUGGCCGGGCGACGGUUGUCCCGGUUUAAGCGUGUAGGUGUGUGUUCCAGGUAAAUCCGGUUCACUUUAACACUGAGGCGUGACGACGAGGCACUACGGUGCUGAAGCAACAAAUGCCCUGCUUCCAGGAAAAGCCUCUAAGCAUCAGGUAACAUCAAAUCGUACCCCAAACCGACACAGGUGGUCAGGUAGAGAAUACCAAGGCGCUUGAGAGAACUCGGGUGAAGGAACUAGGCAAAAUGGUGCCGUAACUUCGGGAGAAGGCACGCUGACACGUAGGUGAAGUGAUUUACUCAUGGAGCUGAAGUCAGUCGAAGAUACCAGCUGGCUGCAACUGUUUAUUAAAAACACAGCACUGUGCAAACACGAAAGUGGACGUAUACGGUGUGACGCCUGCCCGGUGCCGGAAGGUUAAUUGAUGGGGUCAGCGCAAGCGAAGCUCCUGAUCGAAGCCCCGGUAAACGGCGGCCGUAACUAUAACGGUCCUAAGGUAGCGAAAUUCCUUGUCGGGUAAGUUCCGACCUGCACGAAUGGCGUAAUGAUGGCCAGGCUGUCUCCACCCGAGACUCAGUGAAAUUGAACUCGCUGUGAAGAUGCAGUGUACCCGCGGCAAGACGGAAAGACCCCGUGAACCUUUACUAUAGCUUGACACUGAACAUUGAGCCUUGAUGUGUAGGAUAGGUGGGAGGCUUUGAAGUGUGGACGCCAGUCUGCAUGGAGCCGACCUUGAAAUACCACCCUUUAAUGUUUGAUGUUCUAACGUGGACCCGUUACCCGGGUUGCGGACAGUGUCUGGUGGGUAGUUUGACUGGGGCGGUCUCCUCCUAAAGAGUAACGGAGGAGCACGAAGGUUGGCUAAUCCUGGUCGGACAUCAGGAGGUUAGUGCAAUGGCAUAAGCCAGCUUGACUGCGAGCGUGACGGCGCGAGCAGGUGCGAAAGCAGGUCAUAGUGAUCCGGUGGUUCUGAAUGGAAGGGCCAUCGCUCAACGGAUAAAAGGUACUCCGGGGAUAACAGGCUGAUACCGCCCAAGAGUUCAUAUCGACGGCGGUGUUUGGCACCUCGAUGUCGGCUCAUCACAUCCUGGGGCUGAAGUAGGUCCCAAGGGUAUGGCUGUUCGCCAUUUAAAGUGGUACGCGAGCUGGGUUUAGAACGUCGUGAGACAGUUC